GGCGAUGAAGGGCGUGCUAAUCUGCGAUAAGCGCCGGUAAGGUGAUAUGAACCGUUAUAACCGGCGAUACCCGAAUGGGGAAACCCAGUGUGACUCGUCACACUAUCAUUAACUGAAUCCAUAGGUUAAUGAGGCGAACCGGGGGAACUGAAACAUCUAAGUACCCCGAGGAAAAGAAAUCAACCGAGAUUCCCUCAGUAGCGGCGAGCGAACGGGGAGGAGCCCAGAGCCUGAAUCAGCAUGUGUGUUAGUGGAAGCGUCUGGAAAGGCGCGCGAUACAGGGUGACAGCCCCGUACACAAAAGCGCAUAUGCUGUGAGCUCGAUGAGUAGGGCGGGACACGUGGUAUCCUGUCUGAAUAUGGGGGGACCAUCCUCCAAGGCUAAAUACUCCUGACUGACCGAUAGUGAACCAGUACCGUGAGGGAAAGGCGAAAAGAACCCCGGUGAGGGGAGUGAAAAAGAACCUGAAACCGUGUACGUACAAGCAGUGGGAGCACCCUUUGGGGUGUGACUGCGUACCUUUUGUAUAAUGGGUCAGCGACUUAUAUUCUGUAGCAAGGUUAACCG
rnacentral:rRNA from 1 species